rnacentral:snoRNA from 1 species
CUAGCAAUGAUUAUAAGCGCAGGGGUAUGUACCUCAGCUGAUAAUGGGAGCUGAGUUGGUGCUAG